AUGAGUCAGGCUGCUUACAACCUGUCCGGGAGCCAGUCACAAUCAGGACACAGCAUGGACAUGGGGGUCUCCGCUCAGCUCCUCGGGCUCCUUCUGCUCUGGUUCCCAGGUGCCAGAUGUGACAUCCAGAUGACCCAGUCUCCAUCCUCCUUGUCUGCAUCUCUAGGAGACACAGUCACCAUCACUUGCCAGGCUAGUCAGGGCAUUAUCAAUUGGUUAUCCUGGUAUCAACAGAAACCAGGGAAGGCUCCCAAGCUCCUGAUCUAUGCUGCAUCUAAUUUACAAAGUGGGGUCUCAUCAAGGUUCAGUGGCAGUGGAUCAGGGACAGAUUUUACUCUUACCAUCAGCAGCCUGGAAGCUGAUGAUGUUGGAACUUAUUACUGUCAACACAGCUAUAGUACUCCUCCCACAGUGUUACAAGCCCAUACAUAA